rnacentral:rRNA from 1 species
GAUGAACGCUAGCUACAGGCUUAACACAUGCAAGUCGAGGGGAAACGAUAGAGAAAGCUUGCUUUUUCUAGGCGUCGACCGGCGCACGGGUGAGUAACGCGUAUCCAACCUGCCCACCACUUGGGAAUAACCUUGCGAAAGUAAGACUAAUACCCAAUGAUAUCUCUAGAAGACAUCUGAAGGAGAUUAAAGAUUUAUCGGUGAUGGAUGGGGAUGCGUCUGAUUAGCUUGUUGGCGGGGUAACGGCCCACCAAGGCGACGAUCAGUAGGGGUGCUGAGAGGAAGGUCCCCCACAUGGGAACGGAGACACGGUCCAAACUCCUACGGGAGGCAGCAGUGAGGAAUAGUGGUCAAUGGGCGAGAGCCUGAACCAGCCAAGUAGCGUGCAGGAUGACGGCCCUAUGGGUUGUAAACUGCUUUUAUAAGGGAAUAAAGUGAGCCUCGUGAGGCUUUUUGCAUGUACCUUAUGAAUAAGGACCGGCUAAUUCCGUGCCAGCAGCCGCCGUAA